rnacentral:miRNA from 13 species
GCGGUGACGCCGAUGGUGCGAGC